GGUGCACUUUAGUGCUCUCUAUACUAAAACUGGAACGAUACAGAGAUUAGCGUGGCCCCUGAGCAAGGACGACACACAAAUUCGUGAAGCGUUCCAUUAAAAA